rnacentral:rRNA from 1 species
UACAGAGGUCCCAAGCGUUGCUCGGAUUCAUUGGGCGUAAAGGGUGCGUAGGCGGCGCGGUAAGUCGGGUGUGAAAUCUCGGAGCUUAACUCCGAAACUGCAUUCGAUACUGCCGUGCUUGAGGACUGGAGAGGAGACUGGAAUUUACGGUGUAGCGGUGAAAUGCGUAGAUAUCGUAAGGAAGACCAGUGGCGAAGGCGGGUCUCUGGACAGUUCCUGACGCUGAGGCACGAAGGCCAGGGGAGCAAACGGG